AGCGAACGCUGGCGGCAGGCCUAACACAUGCAAGUCGAACGAAGUCUUCGGACUAAGUGGCGGACGCGGCAGUAACACGGGGGAACGUGCCUUGAGGUUCGGAAUAACGCAGGGCAACGUGUGCUAAUACCGAAUGUGCCCUUCGUGGGAAAGAUUUAUCCCCUGUGGAGCGGCCCGCGUCUGAUUAGCUAGUUGGUGUGGUAAAGGCUCACCAAGGCGACGAUCAGUAGCUGGUUUGAGAGGAUGAGCAGCCACAUUGGAACUGAGACACGGCCCAGACUCCUACGGGAGGCAGCAGUGGGGAAUCUUGCGCAAUGGGCGAAAGGCUGACGCAGCCAGGCCGCGUGAAUGAUGUUGGUCUUAGGGAUAUGAAAUUCUUUCACCGGGGACGAUGAUGACGGUACCCGAAGAAGAAGCCCCGGCUAACUUCGUGCCAGCCGCCGCAGUAACAC
rnacentral:rRNA from 1 species